ACGACCUUGAGGCGACGAGGCCGACGGUUCCUCCGCCCCCGCGCGGCCGCGCACUCCAGCCCAGCGACCUCCUCCGCCCCCGCGCGGCCGCGCACUCCAGCCGCCCCCUGAUCCCUGACCCUCGCGCCGGCACUCUCGCCUCCCCCGCUCUCUCUCGCCCGCGCGGGAGCUGCUGCCGCCGCUCCGCAUCCGUCUCACGCGAGCCGUCGCCGCGACUCCGCGCCGCCAUCGGCUCCCUCUCUCGCUUGCCCCCGUCGCCGCGCCACUCCUCCUCCGCCGUUGCGCCAAGAACUGCUCCGCCCGAACCUGCCACUCCUCCGAUCCGCCACCUUGCGCGCCCAUGCCUCCCCUGCCGCAGCGCCACUCCCCCGCUGCGACGAACUGCUCCGCCCCGAUCUCGCUCGCCCGAACUGCUUCGCCCUGAUCUGCCCCUGCCCCGAUCUGCUCCGUGAAGGAAGGCGACGUCUUCGUGGUGCUGGCCGGGAGACCGGGGUGGUCACCUACCUGGCCAACACCGACGGCCGGAGGAAGCACUGACCUUCGUGCUCCAGUGGCGCGGUGGCGACGUCGACCCGACCGCGCGCUGGCCCCCCACACGCCUUCCCCAGCAUGGCCGAGCCCGCCCGCCCGCCCCUCCCUCCCAUCGUCCGACUGCAGCGACCGCCCCCCGCGGCGCCACGCCGUCUCUGCGGCGUCACCCCAAGCGCUGCCGCGGUGCCACCAUCGUGCCGGCCACCUCCAUCCAGACACCUGGCCGUCACUCCCUUGGUGAUCGGUCGUCGGUGUAGUUGGGCACAGGGGUUCCAGGCAUGCUGCUCCAUUCAAGAGGGCUCACGCCCAUUAUCUAUUCAACAUAUGGCUUCAAUCGUGCUCUUGAGCUCCUGGUUAGAUGCAGUCGACAGUUCCUUGCUACGAAAUGCACCUGCCAAGUACGCUGCUCACCAGAUGUUUGAUGGAAUGCCACACUUCCAUUGUUCGAGGGAAGAUCAGUCCUGGGAAGAUCAAUUUGGCAAGAGGUGCUGGGGAUAGAGAACUGAGAGCAAAUCAAAUUUUCUGAAUAAACAAAAGCAGAAUUGCACUGCAUAUGGUCAUUCAAUAGCAACCAUUUGGCUUGACAGAUAGCAGAUAUUUUGCAGCACUCAUUGGACUUGCAUAUUUGUAAGAGCACUUUGACAUGUCUAAACAAUGUUAUCCUGGACUACCAUUAACUGAUAAUUUCAGAACUUGCUAUGAUAGUAUCUAAAACUGUUUCAACUAGAUUCUUUUAUCUCCAUAGCCAAUCAUGAGUGAUUGGUUGUAUGAGUUUUCACCAUUUAUUUAAUACUUACUGCCUUACAAGUUUUGUUUUUUAGCUGGCUAGAAGGUUUUUUAAUAUCAGCUUGCCAUGUUUGAGAUGAGAGAUAGUGAGGUAGAACUUAUAUACCUCCAUGCUCCGAUGGCUAAUUGGAGAGGUAGUUUUCAAAGUUUUCUUAUUUGUUUUCCACAUUUUAUCCUGUGAACCGAAAUUCAUUUUCUUUAUUUUUCCAAGUUCUCUAA